GACGUACGCUGGCGGCGUGCUUAACACAUGCAAGUCGAACGGAAAGGCCCUGCUUUUGUGGGGUGCUCGAGUGGCGAACGGGUGAGUAACACGUGAGUAACCUGCCCUUGACUUUGGGAUAACUUCAGGAAACUGGGGCUAAUACCGGAUAGGAGCUCCUGCUGCAUGGUGGGGGUUGGAAAGUUUCGGCGGUUGGGGAUGGACUCGCGGCUUAUCAGCUUGUUGGUGGGGUAGUGGCUUACCAAGGCUUUGACGGGUAGCCGGCCUGAGAGGGUGACCGGCCACAUUGGGACUGAGAUACGGCCCAGACUCCUACGGGAGGCAGCAGUGGGGAAUAUUGCACAAUGGGCGGAAGCCUGAUGCAGCAACGCCGCGUGCGGGAUGACGGCCUUCGGGUUGUAAACCGCUUUCGCCUGUGACGAAGCGUGAGUGACGGUAAUGGGUAAAGAAGCACCAGCUAACUACGUG
rnacentral:rRNA from 1 species